AGAUCGGCUCCGUGUAGUUGCCAGACCCCCGACCCGGCAACUGCACGGAGCCUUUUG
rfam:Nocardia cyriacigeorgica GTH-2 chromosome complete genome